rnacentral:rRNA from 1 species
GACGAACGCUGGCGGCGUGCUUAACACAUGCAAGUCGAACGGGCCCGCCCCUGUUUUUGGGGGGGGGUUGAGUGGCGAACGGGUGAGUAUCACGUGAGUAACCUGCCCCCUGCUCCUGGAUAACUGCUUGAAAGGGCGGCUAAUACGGGGUGUGCCGGCUGGUCCGCAUGGGCCUGGUCGGGAUAGUUUCAUCUUCGGGUGUUUCGGUGGGGGAUGGGCUCGCGGCCUAUCAGCUUGUUGGGGGGGUGAUGGCCCACCAAGGCGGUGACGGGUAGCCGGCCUGGGCGGGUGGGCGGCCACCCUGGGACUGGGACACGGCCCAGGCUCCUGCGGGAGGCAGCAGUGGGGGGUAUUGCACAAUGGGCGGAAGCCUGAUGCAGCGGCGUCGCGUGAGGGAUGGAGGCCUUCGGGUUGUGAACCUCUUUCUCCGGUGGUGAAGGCCCUGUCCGUUGCGGCGGGGUUGACGGUAGCCGGGUAUGAAGCGCCGGCUAACUACGUG